rnacentral:rRNA from 1 species
CCUACGGGUGGCAGCAGUGGGGAAUAUUGCACAAUGGGGGAAACCCUGAUGCAGCGACGCCGCGUGAGUGAAGAAGUCAUUCGUUAUGUAAAGCUCUAUCAGCAGGGAAGAAAAUGACGGUACCUGAGUAAGAUGCUCUGGCUAACUACGUGCCAGCAGCCGUGGUAAUACGUAGGGGGCAAGCGUUAUCCGGAUUUACUGGGUGUUAAGGGAGCGUAGACGGGAGUGCAAGUCAAGGGUGAAAUCCUCGCGCUAAACAUGGGAACUGCCUUUGAAACUGGCAAACUGGAGUGUGUGAGAGGAUAGUGGAAUUCCAGGUGUAGGAGUGAAAUCCGUAGAUAUCUGGAGGAACAUCAGUGGCGAAGGUGACUAUCUGGCACAUAACUGACGCUGAGGAGCGAAAGCGUGGGUAGCAAACAGGAUUAGAUACCCGAGUAGUC